AAUACAGUCUUUAAAGUUACUCUUUAAUAUUCAAUAUCUGUGUCUUGUAUUUUGCUAUUCGUUCAUUUUAACGUCCUAUUUGGAUGCUUGGAUAGUGAGCCUUGGGAAGGUAUUACACACCCUUCUGUGUGUCAGUACCUAGCCUGGAAUCUAACAUGUAGCUGCCAACUGAACAAUUAUUUAUCAUGGAAAUAAACUUCAACUUAAGGCUGACCCAUGCAUACCACAUAGUGUUUGUCUGCAUAAAGAGGGAUGUCUGCUUUAACUCUUUAGCACACUGAAUGCCGUGUUUUGUACAUGGUAGGUGCUGCGUAGAUUAUUCCUGUUAUCUUAGAAGAAUAAUUUAAUCUUAUAAUUGUAAAACUUCAUCAGUACACCAGAAAUCAUUGUCUAUGACUGCACACAGUUUUCUGUUAUCAUUGGCAUCUUCUUAGUUUCCUUUCACUGGUAAAAAGAAAAAUGUUGCAAAGGUAGCCUUGUGUACUGUGUGCCAGCAUUUUGAUGAGUGAAAUCCACCAAUGGUGUUUCUUAGAUUAGAAGUAGUCUAGUAUAGCUGCCCAAGUUUGUGUAAGUGUACUCUGAUGUUUGUACAGUGGUGAAGAACUGUCUUCGCAUUCUCAAGAGUAUAUUGCCUAUGUUAGGAGACUUGUGACUAUACCUGUAUUUUAGGAAAGUAGGAAAAAUGAAAAGGAUGGUCUUUGUGGGAAUUAUUUUAACAAAAAUACUUUAAGAAAAAGACCUAUGUAAAAGUAUAUAAUAUGCUGUGUGCUGCUAUAUAGAGAGAAGCUACCCUUGAAUGUUGAAAGCCAUUAGUGAAAUUUCUUUCUUAUACAGUCUGUGAAAGAGGGAAAUGGAAUAACAUACAAAUCAAAGCGUUCUAGUAAGUCCUAUUGGAAGGUGACUCCCUGAUUCCAGUUAUCUCACUUACAGUACGAGCAUUUAAAUCAACCGAGCAAACUGGGCCCACCAGGAUACACUAAGGACAGGAAGUAAAGCCAAUGAGAAAUGGGUAGACAGUGCAUCAGAACCCAGACAGACAAGACCCCGAAACUGUAAGGGAGGUUGAACAUUUUCUAGUGUUCUGAGAUUGGGAAAGUUAUGUCAAGUUUCGUGUUACUACCUAUGAAGUGAUGAAAAAUAAGUUGUGUGGAGUAUAAAGGACUAAGGGAGCAAAGAGAGUGGUCUACUCGUCCCCUUAUCUGCUUGCUUCAUCGUUAGUGGAACACUAGCUUUCUAAAUGUGUCCUUACCAAACAGUGAAGCUUAUAUGUAUCUCCAAACAGUGGUAACGGUUUACUAUAUCCAUAUAUAAUGAGAAAGUUUUCUAUAGGUUUUUAAAUGGCACAUUUAAAGAUGCAUAUUAUACUCUAUUGUGUGUAUCAUCUACAUUAAUGAGACUUCUAGAAAUAAAUUAAUUUUACUGUCAAUACAUUGUUAUUUGUGUACUUGGGGAAAUUAAUAUUGUCCUGGAUUCUUAGAAGUAUUAGAGAGAGCAAAGCAAAAAAAAAAAAAAAAAAAAAAGGACAAGACAAAAAACAACAAAAAAAGCCCCAAAAUGGGGGG
rnacentral:lncRNA from 1 species